rnacentral:rRNA from 1 species
GUUCGGAUUGCAGGCUGCAACUCGCCUGUAUGAAGCGGAAUUGCUAGUAAUCGCGGAUCAGCAUGCCGCGGUGAAUACGUUCCCGGGCCUUGUACACACCGCCCGUCACACCAUGAGAGUCGGGAACACCCGAAGUCCGUAGUCUAACCGCAAGGAGGGCGCGGCCGAAGGUGGGCUUGAUAAUUGGGGUGAAGUCGUAACAAGGUAAC